rnacentral:rRNA from 1 species
AGAGUUUGAUCCUGGCUCAGGAUGAACGCUGGCGGCGUGCCUAACACAUGCAAGUCGAGCGAUUUACUUCGGUAAAGAGCGGCGGACGGGUGAGUAACGCGUGGGUAACCUGCCCUGUACACACGGAUAACAUACCGAAAGGUAUGCUAAUACGAGAUAAUAUGCUUUUAUCGCAUGGUAGAAGUAUCAAAGCUCCGGCGGUACAGGAUGGACCCGCGUCUGAUUAGCUAGUUGGUAAGGUAACGGCUUACCAAGGCGACGAUCAGUAGCCGACCUGAGAGGGUGAUCGGCCACAUUGGAACUGAGACACGGUCCAAACUCCUACGGGAGGCAGCAGUGGGGAAUAUUGCACAAUGGGCGAAAGCCUGAUGCAGCAACGCCGCGUGAGCGAUGAAGGCCUUCGGGUCGUAAAGCUCUGUCCUCAAGGAAGAUAAUGACGGUACUUGAGGAGGAAGCCCCGGCUAACUACGUGCCAGCAGCCGCGGUAAUACGUAGGGGGCUAGCGUUAUCCGGAAUUACUGGGCGUAAAGGGUGCGUAGGUGGUUUCUUAAGUCAGAGGUGAAAGGCUACGGCUCAACCGUAGUAAGCCUUUGAAACUGGGAAACUUGAGUGCAGGAGAGGAGAGUGGAAUUCCUAGUGUAGCGGUGAAAUGCGUAGAUAUUAGGAGGAACACCAGUUGCGAAGGCGGCUCUCUGGACUGUAACUGACACUGAGGCACGAAAGCGUGGGGAGCAAACAGGAUUAGAUACCCUGGUAGUCCACGCCGUAAACGAUGAGUACUAGCUGUCGGAGGUUACCCCCUUCGGUGGCGCAGCUAACGCAUUAAGUACUCCGCCUGGGAAGUACGCUCGCAAGAGUGAAACUCAA